CUUUAACUGCAGAAACACCCUGCAGUAAAAGAGAGGCAUAAUGAGGGCUCAUAGUUGAGAAAUGAUUAUAAAAGCUGUGGAAGAGUGUUGCAUUCUUCAAUACAACACACAAACUCAGAAUAAUCACUAAAAUUACACAAUAUCAGGCAUUUGCUUAAUAAUUUUUACCAGUCAAGUGAUAAGAACAUCAUUUUGUUAUCUUCUGAUUAUCAUCAUUUGCUACUAAAAUCUGAACUUCAAUAAAAAGGGUAACCUAGUGCAUAAGGCACCUUACACUUGUGGGCUCUAGGGAGGGUUGAUGUAUGCAGCCUUACCUAUAGAGGCUGUUUCUGUGGCUCGAACCUAUGACCUCCAAGUCACAAAUGGAGU
rnacentral:misc_RNA from 1 species